rfam:Ixodes scapularis strain Wikel colony gcontig_1107728635380, whole genome shotgun sequence.
UCCUGUUUAGCUCAGUUGGUAGAGCGCUCCACCUGUAAUGGAGAGGUCCCGGGUUCGAUACCCGGACCAGGCG